rnacentral:lncRNA from 1 species
UUUUUAUCCACAAACCUACAGGAAACAACAUAAAACAGCCUCUAACUGGUGUUGUAAACAGUUUGUAGCCUUUCACAGUCCCGUUCUGGCUAAACCAGCCCUGUGAGCGCUGGUGGCGUAGGCUCACCUCCCCCUUUCAUCCCGCUGCGUGCUGCAUUUGCAAAUCACACGAGCAGACCCGGAGGGAGGGGAUAAAAGCGGAACACAUCAACGUAACACAGUCACGUCCGCCUUCCUCUUAACUGUCUCUCAUCUUGGACUGGUGGUGGUUUCUCUCUCUCCCUCUCGCGGCUUCACCAAGGUUGUUUGGGUGUUUUCUGUGUCAAGAACACAGCGCCGCAUCUCUGUCAGCCCGGGGGGGUCGUUUGAUAAACCCCAGAGGGCAGAAGAUAGAUGAUUACAGCGGCGUGUCCUGACCGAGGACAGAACGGUCACGGUGACUGCGGUACUGUGCAGAGGACGCAGCAGCCAUGAAGUGGGUCGUGUUCGGCAUGUACAGAACGCCCUGCCGGGAAUCACCUGAGAAAAUGUUAAAAUAAUAAAAGAAUCCAGUCAGGAGAAUUCGAAUAACUUUUAUUGCACAUUCCUGUUGGGUCUUGGAAAGACCUCUCAACUUUUUCUACUUUUAAGACCUCCGACAAAUACUCAAAGUCAGGGGCUGGAUGAAGCCUCCCAGAGUGACUGAUGACAGGUCAGAUGUGCACAUUCCUUUUACUCGUGAGAUUUGAAGCGCAAGGAGAUCAAACUGAUCCUAGAUCUGUGGCAGGGGGAGCUUGAAGUCCAGAUUGUUGCGGCCUUGAGCCAAAUUCAGAGCAGGAACAGGGAAGGGACGGCAAUGACAUCAUAGAGGGGACCAGGUAGUACACAAGGGAGCGUGUGAAUAUUCUUGAUUCGACUCCCGAUGAAAGCGAUACUCCCUUUGUCCUCCUUCUCCUCUUCUUCAGUCCCCGAACCCCCCCUUCCAAUAUGAACAACCCUUCCCCCAUCACACACAAAUACUGUACAUAGGCUGUCGUUCAGUUUUUUUUUCUUCUCGUUUUCUGGUGACAACACCUGCAACAUGCUCCAAAUCUUCAUUUUGGCAAGCCACAAAUAAAUUAAAAUACAAACAUUCAUGUAACACAAUGUGACAGGGUUUUUUUUUUCUGACGCUAAGAAAGAAAAACGGAAAUAUACAUACAGAAUACAGAACCCAAAGGAGGAAAAAAGAAAGAGAAGCAUUUGUGUUUAUGCCCCCCCCCCCCACGCUUUUUUUUUUUUUUACUUUUCUGGAAAAAAAGAUAUACAGUAGCUAGCUACCAAUCACAUAUCACAUGCAGAUAUAAUACAACAUAAUCAGUUCACCCAGUUAGUGUCUGCAAACUACCAGUCUAAUCUACUGUAUAUCACAAUAGUAUUCUCUUGAAACCAGCAAACACUCGGACUUUGAGUCAUUUCGUCUAAAUAAUAAUUCAGUUUACGGUUUCUCCUGCUCCCUGUCGCCAGGAGGUCGCUACGCCAUCGACCCUGAACUGACUAGCCAGAUUUUUAAAAGACUAACAAGCGCUCGGAUAUGUUCACAUACCAGAUGGUGUGGUGCAUUUUUAAAAAUCUUUCUGUUCAUAUGGUUUUCC